AUUGAACGCUGGCGGCAGGCCUAACACAUGCAAGUCGAGCGGAUGAAGGGAGCUUGCUCCUGGAUUCAGCGGCGGGCGGGUGAGUAAUGCCUAGGAAUCUGCCUGGUAGUGGGGGAUAACGUCCGGAAACGGGCGCUAAUACCGCAUACGUCCUGAGGGAGAAAGUGGGGGAUCUUCGGACCUCACGCUAUCAGAUGAGCCUAGGUCGGAUUAGCUAGUUGGUGGGGUAAAGGCCUACCAAGGCGACGAUCCGUAACUGGUCUGCGAGGAUGAUCAGUCACACUGGAACUGAGACACGGGCCCAGAUCCUAAGGGAGGGAGGAGGGGGGAAUAUUGGACAAUGGGCGGAAGCCUGAUCCAGGCAUGGCGCGUGGGGGAAGAAAGUCUUCGGGUUGUAAAGCCCUUUUAGGUGGGAAGAAAGGCAGUAAGGUAAUACCCUGCUGUUUUGACGGUACCCAACGAAUAAGCACCGGCUAACUUCGUG
rnacentral:rRNA from 1 species